rnacentral:rRNA from 1 species
UACGGAGGGGGCUAGCGUUGUUCGGAAUUAUUGGGCGUAAAGAGCUCGUAGGCGGUCUGUCGCGUCGGCUGUGAAAACCCGAGGCUCAACCUCGGGCCUGCAGUCGAUACGGGCAGACUAGAGUGCUGUAGGGGAGACUGGAAUUCCUGGUGUAGAGGUGAAAUUCGUAGAUAUUCGCAAGAACACCAGUGGCGAAGGCGGCCGACUGGUCCGGGUUCU